GUUCUCAGCUUGGUCUCUCCCGGGUCGCCUUCCUCGCGCACUUGGUAUCGAUCCGGAGGAAGCGGCCGGAGCGCAGAGCUAGCUGCGCUUCCCUGGGGACGGGGGACGGCGAGAAGAGCCCGGAAGGAUGGGGCGGGAAGGUUGCUGGACUUUAGAGGGUGAGGGGUGGUGGGCCGCUCUGGCUUCCC
rnacentral:lncRNA from 1 species